rnacentral:misc_RNA from 1 species
GUCCUAUGCAACACUUCCUUCCGGGUCUGCUCCAGAUUCCAAUGAGUCAACUCAUGGUCAGUGACAAAACCAUCAGAUGGGUUGACAUCAAUCUUGGGAAACAAUGAUACAAGUCUAUCAGUUACAUUGAACUUGUGUUCAUCAUUGAGAUAAUCUUCAGCAUCCAUAAAGUCUUCCCAUUCAGGCUGAGAUUCUUGACCAGGAGCAGGUUCAUGUAUUAAUUGAUGAUGAUGGGUGUCAAUAUACUGCUUCUCCCAUUCCUUAUCCUCACGUUGGCGCUCAAUUUGAGCAACUAAAGGGUCAAAGGGAAUAUGUUCAUAGUGGGUAGAAUGCGAGUCAAAAGUGAAGUUGGAGCGCAAUUUAAGUCGGCGAUGACGCUUAGGUUUGUUGGAAGGAGAAGGAGAGUGAGAGAUGAGGAAUAUAAGGAGCACAGCAGCUGUGAUGUAGAUAAUCACUAAAGCUUUCCCCAUUUCCUCAUCUAAAUAUCAACCAGCAAAGGGGAACCAGAUCGAUCUUCUUCGCCUACAAAUAGUUGACAAAUUGGACUCAGAUUGGGACGAUUGUAUUAGGUAUGAUACAAGAUCUAAAAUAGGGAGGAGGUGGCACAUUCUUCACACCAAUCAACUCCUGC